UAUUGCAUCUUGAUAUGCGCAUGCGCACACAGCAAUACCCAUCCCCCACCCUGGACUGACAUUUGAACUCCAACCACGGUGACUUCAACCAUCACUUUUUGUCAUGCAUCUGACUGUGUAGCCUAAGCUGUACAAACUCUGCUGUCAUCAUAUCCAAGGUGGUGAUUUGUGAGGACUGCUGCCCUGAGAACACAGAGUACAUUCUGCAUAUGCCAAAUCAAUGUGUGCCACUUCCAUAAAGGGGAAAAAAGUUUCUACCUGGAGAGUGUACUCACUGUUUGUGUGGAAAAACUAAACUUUAAUAAAAGGUUAAACAAA